GAUUGAGAGUUUGAUCCUGGCUCAGGACGAACGCUGGCGGCGUGCUUAACACAUGCAAGUCGAGCGAGGCCCUUCCUUCGGGAAGGUGUCCUAGCGGCGAACGGGUGAGUAACACGUGUCAACCUGCCCCUAGCACUGGGAUAACCCCGGGAAACCGGGGCUAAUACCGGAUACGACCUCGAGAGGCAUCUCUCUUGGUGGAAAGGGUUACUGGCUAGGGAUGGGCCCGCGGCCUAUCAGCUUGUUGGUGGGGUAACAGCCCACCAAGGCGACGACGGGUAGCCGGCCUGAGAGGGCGACCGGCCACACUGGGACUGAGACACGGCCCAGACUCCUACGGGAGGCAGCAGUGGGGAAUAUUGCACAAUGGGCGAAAGCCUGAUGCAGCGACGCCGCGUGAGGGAUGACGGCCUUCGGGUUGUAAACCGCUUUCAGCUCCGACGAAGCGCAAGUGACGGUAGGAGCAGAAGAAGGACCGGCCAACUACGUGCCAGCAGCCGCGGUAAU
rnacentral:rRNA from 1 species